rnacentral:snoRNA from 1 species
AACCAGUGAUGUGAUGAUUCUGUCAAAUAAAUAGAAUGGUAUCACAUGUAAAACUGUUUCAGUUUGAUUCUGAGGUU